AAAAUGCAAGUGAAAAAUAACUCAAAGAAGAAGAAUAACACGUAGAAACAUACUAACUGACAACAUUUGAGUGAUCAAAAUCGAAAAACAAAUAAUCAAGAAAAACUAAAUCCAUUUCAGAGAUACUAAAUUCAUUUCAGUGAAACAAAUGCAAGUGAAAAACAACUCAUAGAAGACAUUGGUUCUACGUGUUGGAAGCAAAAAUGAUCAAAAUGGAAAAACAAACAUUUCAGUGAUAUAAACCUACCGUUGGAAGAAGAAACAUGAAAAAAAAGAACUAACAUAUCUCAAAUGUGAUGACUUUUGAUAUUCAAGUGU
rnacentral:lncRNA from 1 species